AUUUUUUUUAACUCUCUCUCUUGGCAUGUAAGUGAGCGUAUUUCCCUUAGCUAUGCUGUGUCACAUUAAUAUAGUAAAAAAAAAAUUUACUUUCCUUGUGCCGUUGAUAUUAAUUAUAAUUGAAAAUUUUGUGCAAAUGAAAUUGUUGCUUUUGGAAAUUUGCAACGUUCAUUGUAUGGUAUGAUGAUUUCAAAUGAUUGGAACUAUAUGUGUCUGAUCCAGUAUAUUAAGUUGAAAAUAUGUUUUUGUUUAACAAGUUUAACCAAUUGCAUCGUUAUAUUAUGAUUUUGGGAUAUUAUGACUUCGGAAUAACUAGGUUUCAUUUUUAUGGAAUUAUAAAUUGGUGAUAAUGGAUAGUGG
rnacentral:misc_RNA from 1 species